GAAACCGUGCAAUGAUUGGCUAUGCUGUAUGUGAAGUCCCUGCCCUCUCCAAGGAAAGUAUAUAAGCUCUGCUUAAGCUGUUCCCCGGGCUCUCUCUCUCUGCUCUAUUCAAGUGAGCUCUGAGCCCCAGCAUGCUGGACCCCCAAUAAACCCUUUGCUGUUGCAUGAGACAGUCUCUUGGUGGUCUCUUCCUCCGACACUCGUCUGACCUUUACAUCUGGAUGUUCCACCGAGAUCCGGCAGCGGUGGACGAAAGACCCCAACAGGCUCCUCUCGGGGCCCAUCUGUGUCCACGUGAGCUUAAUGACCAAUCUGCAAGAUGAUGACCAUGGAAGCAGAGAGAAAGAUGACAGCACAGACACUUCGGACCCAAAGCCACCCAGAGGAACGGGAGCCAGAGUGCUGGAGCACACGUGUUCUCAGGGGCUUGAGGAUCCGGGCUCUCUGGG